UUACAGCAGAGUGAGAGUGCGGAUAUUGUUCCCGAAUAUGAGACGGAGCCCCCAAACCUCUCUCUGUCGGAGGAUAUAAAACGUGUCAGAUUCUUCAUCGUGUCAGAGUUCUGCUCUUCUUCUUCAUCUUCAUCUUCAGACUUUGUGAAGUUUAGAUUUUAACAUUUCUACAUUUUUGGACCUUUGACCUUCCACCAACUCUCCGGUAUCUCUCCUGCUGACUCAAGAACUCAUUUCUCUCCUGUCAUCCAGAUCAACAUGAAGAUCUCUAUCUUUGCUGGUGUUCUGCUGAUCUCUGCUGCUCUCAUGUUCCUGGGACCAGAAACUGCAGAUGCUACGUUUGAAACUCAGCAUUUUUACCCUGACAUGGAAAAAGGAGACCACUGUAAUGAGGCGAUGAUGAAGGUCAUAAAUACAGGAACAAUCUGUGUGCCCUCCAAUAUCUUCAUCAUAGGGAAGUUUGAGGACCUCAAACUCGCCUGUAACCAUCCACUCAAAACAUCCACAUGUUUCUUUGUUGUAGAAUGCACCCUAGCCCCUGCUACACCAACCACCCCUCCGUGUAAAUAUAAUCCUAACCCUAAACACGGGACAUUUGUGGUCCAAUGUGACGCCAGCGGCAAUCCUAUUAGCCUUGUAAAUUUUACCUCUACCCCCGUGCCUAAGUAAUUAUCACCUGAUGAAUCAGAGUAAUCUGUUACUACCUGAUGUACCAGAGUAAUCUAUUACUACCUGAUGAACC